UACGAAGGGGGCUAGCGUUGUUCGGAAUUACUGGGCGUAAAGCGCACGUAGGCGGGUCGUUAAGUCAGGGGUGAAAUCCCGGAGCUCAACUCCGGGACUGCCUUUGAUACUGGCGAUCUAGAGAUCGGAAGAGGUGAGUGGAAUUCCCAGUGUAGAGGUGAAAUUCGUAGAUAUUGGGAAGAACACCAGUGGCGAAGGCGGCUCACUGGUCCGAUACUGACGCUGAGGUGCGAAAGCGUGGGGAGCAAACAGG
rnacentral:rRNA from 1 species